UACGUAGGGUGCGAGCGUUGUCCGGAAUUAUUGGGCGUAAAGGGCUCGUAGGCGGUCUGUUGCGUCAGGAGUGAAAACUCAGGGCUUAACCCCGAGCCUGCUUCUGAUACGGGCAGACUAGAGGUAUGCAGGGGAGAACGGAAUUCCUGGUGUAGCGGUGAAAUGCGCAGAUAUCAGGAGGAACACCGGUGGCGAAGGCGACUAUCUGGGUAAUACUGACGCUGAGGGACGAAGGCAUGGGGAGCAAAUGGG
rnacentral:rRNA from 1 species